UCCCAGAAAUACCUUUUACCUGGCUGGACACAGCACUAGCACCGUCAUAUCCCUGGCCUCGACAAUUUUGAAGGGAAGCCCGACAUCUUGAAGUGUACUUUGACUAAUGAACGGAAUCAAAUCCAAAGGCGAAACAGUUCGGUAUACAAAUGAAAAUGUUCUUGAAUCAUGUAAAACUUCAAAUUUAUUCAAGAAUGUAUUAAAUUAUCCAGAAAGUAUAAGCUUGGAGUUAUCAUUAAAAAGUGCCUUGCACCAGAUAUUUUCAAUAAUUAGCUAUCGAGACCAUCCUCAGUUGU